GGCGGAGCCUGGCCUUUAGGGGUCCUCUGGCUUUGAAGGUCGCCUCCUCUUGAAUAACUCACUGAUAAGUUUAUUAAAGGUUUUCAGAGCUGGAUAUGGUGGCGCACGCCUGUAAUCCCAGUAUGUGGGAGGCUAGGUAGGAGAACUGCCAGGAGUUCGAGACCAAUCUGAGCUAUACAGUGAGUUCAAGGCCAGCAUGGAAUACAAAGCAAGACCUCGUUUCAAAUACAUUAAUAGAGGUUUUCUUCCGGCAUCUCCAACCUGGAUCUUUUCAAGGAAGUAGAGCAGGGGCUGUAAUUACCAUAUGACUAGAGGGAGAGUCUAGUUAUGAGCAGGAGACCCGAAAAUGGGCCUUUCUGGUUGCAGAUGGGGAAGGGUGGCCCGGCACUGGCUUCGAGGCCAGCCCCGCUUAGAGCUCCAGACAGCAGCGGUGUGGGAGAGAUGGGCCCAGGCUUAACGGGGUUGCCAAUGCUAGGUGCAUGGAGCUAAGCCUGGCUGCAGGUGGAGCGGGGUUCCUCCCAGGUGUGGGACUGUGUGAUUCAAAAGUUAAUUACUCCCCUAGAUUUUGUUGUAAAUUUGAUGGUUGGAGUGUGUUUGCCUCGGGACAAUGGACAAUCAGUAAUAGGGCGAGGUUACUCAGCCAUCUGUUUGCCCUAAAUCCAAAUGUCCCGGGGCCCAGUAUCUAUAGGACAAUCUGUAAACAGGGUGGUCGCAACUGUCAGUCAGGAUGUCUGCUGAACAUCAGCAUGUGAUAAUGAGCCACUAACCUUUGUUCUUUUUUUUCUCUGUGAAUCCACAUGUUAAACAACGCCCCCCCACCCCGCUUAACCCCCUAUAAAACAACCUCGGACUCUGAGCCAGGUGCCUCUCUGAGCUAUUUUGCUUCGGGAGUGCCGUCUGGCCAGACUAAUAAAGGUCUGUUUCCCAACAUGGCCGGUGUGUUCCUUCCCGGGUGUGCUCCACUCCACCUCCUUGGAGCAUUUGGUAAGGCCUUUGGUCUUACAUUCUGGAGGCACCGCUGGGAUCCCCGGGUGUGCUCCACUUCAGCUCCUCGGAGCGUUUGGUAAGGCCCUCGGUCUUACAUUUUGGAGGCCCCAGCGAGAUGCCCGGGUAAGGAACCCCGGUUCAGCCGAGACUCUAUGGCGGGAUCCAGCAGGAGACUCAGGCACAGACCUCAGAAAACCUCCGGAGGGAUUGAACUCGGGACCUUGCAUUUGCGCAGCAGGCGGCAGAACCACUGAGCUAAAGGCCUGGCCCUAGAUUCAUAUUUUUUCAAGACAAAUUGAAAAAUGAAGAGAAGGGGAGACUUCCCGGAAGAUCACAGAGUGGUGAACAGCAGAGAAACAGCCUCUCCAAGAUUUGGUGUCCAGACCCUGGAAUAUAGCAACAUGAGGAAGACAGGAAGGAGGGAAGUGGGGCCUCAGAACCCAGCAAGAAUCUGAAGUGAGAAUUGAGGCCCACGAGGACAGCCAAGAGAGCGAUUUCAAUGCAGAAGAAGGAGAUGGCAAGUGGCACUUUCUCCUUGAGCCCUGACUCAUUGUGUGGGAAGGGAGGCUCAAACCUGCAGACACAUGGUGACUACUGGUAAGCCCAGAGCCCUCCAUGGAGAAAUGCGCCCCAGAACAGAGCAUUUGACACAGCAGACUGCAGUGGCUGGUGAGUUAUUCGAGUUCAGACAUCCUCAGGAGAGGGUGAUUGGCUGGUCACCAUCUUGGAGAGGAGCCGACUGAGCUGGAACUCAGAGCAGCUGCAGGCGGACUCCAUCAGGGUAGGCUGAACCGAGUUCAAGUCAGCAGGAAGUCAAGGAGCCAAGUUCAAGCUGGCAGAAAUACAGAGUGUUGCAGCUGAACAAAUCGGGUUCCAGCCUCACAGCCAGAAACCAGCCUGAGCUUCAGAACUAAAGGUGCAGGCUUGCUGGGAUUACCCACUACCCCACCGUGGCAUGUUGGAAUUGAUCUGUGCUCUGUGUGCCCACUGACAGCAGAAACACACCUUGAAGGAUUGAACUCAGGACCUUACACUUUCGAGGUAGGUGCAUUGCCACUGAGCUGAAUCCCUGGCUCAAUAUAUCUUGAUUCUUUUUUUCCCAUUCCCCUUCCUUGCCUUCAACCCUUCUUCCCCUCCUUAUUUACAAAAGCUUUGGUUCCAUUUUUUCCCUUCUAUUCUC
rnacentral:lncRNA from 1 species